UUGGGAUCCGUGCCGUAGCUAACGCAUUAAGUACCCCGCCUGGGGAGUACGGCCGCAAGGCUAAAACUCAAAGAAAUUGACGGGGGCCCGCACAAGCGCCGGAGCAUGUGGAUUAAUUCGAUGCAACGCGAAGAACCUUACCUGGGUUUGACAUGCACAGGACGACGGCAGAGAUGUCGUUUCCCUUGUGGCCUGUGUGCAGGUGGUGCAUGGCUGUCGUCAGCUCGUGUCGUGAGAUGUUGGGUUAAGUCCCGCAACGAGCGCAACCCUUGUCUCAUGUUGCCAGCACGUAAUGGUGGGGACUCGUGAGAGUCUGCCGGGGUCAACUCGGAGGAAGGUGGGGAUGACGUCAAGUCAUCAUGCCCCUUAUGUCCAGGGCUUCACACAUGCUACAAUGGCCGGUACAAAGGGCUGCGAAGCCGCGAGGUGGAGCGAAUCCUUUAAAGCCGGUCUCAGUUCGGAUCGGGGUCUGCAACUCGACCCCGUGAAGUUGGAGUCGCUAGUAAUCGCAGAUCAGCAACGCUGCGGUGAAUACGUUCCCGGGCCUUGUACACACCGCCCGUCACGUCAUGAAAGUCGGUAACACCCGAAGCCGGUGGCCUAACCCGUAAGGGAGGGAGCCGUCG
rnacentral:rRNA from 1 species